GACAGAGGUCCCGAGCGUUAGGCGGAAUCACUGGGCUUAAAGCGUGUGUAGGCGGAUUGGUAAGUCCCUUGUGAAAUCCCACGGCUUAACCGUGGAACUGCUUGGUAUACUGCUUAUCUUGGGCCACUUAGGGGUUACCGGAACAAACGGUGGAGCGGUGAAAUGCGUAGAUAUCGUUUGGAACGCCAAUGGUGAAAACAGGUUGCUGGGAGUGUGCUGACGCUGAGACACGAAAGCCAGGGGAGCAAACGGG
rnacentral:rRNA from 1 species